CCCGCCCUUCGGCCACCGCAGCAGAGGCCACGCGUGACAUUUAGGACCACGCGUGACCACCGCGAUCAAACGACGGCUACGGUCUGUGUUCGUAGGGAAGUGAAGUCAGACCUCUGCUGGAUGUCGUGUGUCCCCUAGGACUGCGUCCUCCCGCGCAGACAGGAAAUCACAGAGUUUAUUGGCUUUGUAAAACCUGCCACUUCAUCCUGACAACAUUUUGGAUCUAAGAAGUUAUAAGUUGAACAACUCAGCAUCAGUUGUUUUUACACUGAAGUGUUAUUUAAAAGAAGCAGAUACAGUCAACUUCACAAUUUUAUGAACACUUAAAAAAAAUGAAUUGACAAGAAGGGACAGAGUCUCACUCUCUCCCAGGCUGGAAUGCAAGUGGUGCCAUCAUAGCUCACUGCAGCCUCGAACUCCUGGGCUCAAGGGAUCCUCCUGCCUCAGCCUUCUGGGUGACUAGGAGUACAGGGCUCCAGAGCACCACCCCACUGUGCCUCAUUCAGGAAGUGCUGUGAUCAAGAAACCACUACUGCUGCUGGUGCCAGGACUGUGAUUCCCAUCAACAGCACUGAUGGCCUGCACCUCACCUCUGACACCCAUGGGACUCUUGUAUGUGGACACCAGAAAGUCUGCUAAUUCUGGAACAAAAACCUGAAAUGUCUCCAUGAGAUGGACUGCUGAAAGAAAUAGAAAACCACAGAGGUGAGGCCUCCACCGUACUUCCAAAUGCUGUAUUGCACAUGGAAUGCAUUUGAUUUGUCAGAUCAAUCACUUUCAGAAUCCAAGCUGCAAAGGAGUUUUGGAAACACAGACCAGAGUUUUCCAGCCUCUGUCAGACGAGAAGGCUAAAAAAGAUUGGAAUGGAUGAUGGGCAUUCAUAUUCACAUAAAUUCGACUUCUAUAUAU
rnacentral:lncRNA from 1 species